AUCCUCUUAGGGUCACACCUGGAGAGUUUCCAGGACUCUACCAGUCUCGGUUACUAGAAGGAGAGUCACACAGAGGCCUAUCCAUUCCAUUCCUGGCUUGAGCAGUGGCUAGUGAGUGGAAGGCAAUCUGCUACAAGU